AUUGAACGCUGGCGGCAGGCCUAACACAUGCAAGUCGAGCGGAUGAAGGGAGCUUGCUCCUGGAUUCAGCGGCGGACGGGUGAGUAAUGCCUAGGAAUCUGCCUGGUAGUGGGGGAAACCGUCGGGAAAGGGGGGCUAUUACCGAUACCUUCCGGGGGGGGAAAGGGGGGAACUUUGGACCCCACGGCAUCAGAAGAGGCUAGGUCGGAUUAGCUAGUUGGUGGGGUAAAGGCCUACCAAGGCGACGAUCCGUAACUGGUCUGAGAGGAUGAUCAGUCACACUGGAACUGAGACACGGUCCAGACUCCUACGGGAGGCAGCAGUGGGGAAUAUUGGACAAUGGGCGAAAGCCUGAUCCAGCCAUGCCGCGUAUGUGAAGAAGGUCUUCGGAUUGUAAAGCACUUUAAGUUGGGAGGAAGGGCAGUAAGUUAAUACCUUGCUGUUUUGACGUUACCAACAGAAUAAGCACCGGCUAACUUCGUG
rnacentral:rRNA from 1 species